AAGCGUAACAAGGUUUCCGUAGGUGAACCUGCGGAAGGAUCAUUAACACGUAUCCAACGUUAAAACAACCCCCGUGAACUUUCAGCUUGCCUGUAGCCCGUGAAAACAGCAAUCCCUGGUAAAUCAUUGUUGACCAGCUUUUGAGUCAGGGACCUCUGCCGAUUGUGAUAAGGAUGGCGCAGUCACGAUCGCUGUAGGCCCACACGGCCGGCGACCGGGACUCUGCCCCUUUACGACAACACAGUACGAAUUGGCCGCGCGUGAAAUUCGCACGGCACCAAAAACCGAACAACUGUUAACAAUGGAUAUCUUGGUUCUC
rnacentral:misc_RNA from 1 species